UUCAAUCUCUUGCAUCCAUUUUGUGAGAAUUCUCUAAAAGAAUCAACAAGCACCAUUUUGUGCAUGAAAUAUUUAGAUGGACUUCAAUCAAUUAAUGGCAUGCUGUUAAAUUGGGGGGUAAUGUUGGUAAUUUAAUGGAAUAGAUUUAAUCUGAAGAUGAUUUUACAAAUCCAACCGGAUCAACCUUUAGAGUUGAUGUGUCCUCUAUGACCUUCUGACUAUCCAGUGAUGUGUCGCUCCAGCGAGAGGCGAUACUACUAACCUGUCGGGGUGGAGGACGGCAGAGCCAGUAGCUGCAGCAGGUUCCUUCUCCGGGGACUGGAGGACAACAGAUUUUCCCAGAGAACAACCAAAGAGCACCAGCAUCAUCACAAAGUGCGAAAAAUGCAUUUUUGGAAAGAUGGUGGUCAGUCUGGUCUCUAUGCAACUAUCAGAGCAAAUACCACCAACUUGUGGUUUUGUGGCAAUAAAUGAAUUUGACUAUGUUCAGUAAUGAAGGAAGAACUAGGUGUUCUUCAGUUGGCAGAGGAGGAGGCUGUACUGGUACAACUGAUAAUGACGCUCUGGUAGAGGUCUGGUUAUCCAAUGGAAGCUCACGACGAGGCAGGAAGAGAAUAACUAUUGUUUGUAUUGGCCUGGAAACCUCAGCUUUAUCUCCUCGUACACCAGGUUGUCCUUGGAAUAUUUUACAUUGUUUUUAUGUCCUGCAAGUAUGAAACAGUGUUGAGGUGAUAGAGAAGGACCAGAGAGAAAGAGAGAGAGAGCUGAGAGAGAAAGAUUAGGAGAGACAGAAAGGUUUCAGAGAGAGCUGAGAGAGAAAGAUUAGGAGAGACAGAAAGGUUUCAGAGAGAGCUGAGAGAGAAAGAUUAGGAGAGACAGAAAGGUUUCAGAGAGAGCUGAGACAGAAAGAUUAGGAGAGACAGAAAGAUUGAGAAAGAUUGAGAGAGAGAGAGAGAGAGAGAGAGAGAGAGAGAGAGAGAGAGAGAGAGAGAGAGAGAGAGAGAGACUACUUACCAUAGUUGUAUAGACAAAGAGUAUCAUGGGUAAUGUGCGUUGAGACUGAGCACAUUAAAUGGUUGAACUGAUUCCUGCCCAUCCUUAUUGAAUUGUUAUAAAGAUGUGGUUAUGAAACCAGAAAGACAUAACAGUCUUGUCAACAAUACAUAAUGUGUGACUGGCUGUUACCUCAGAAGAGAUGUGUGUGUGUAACCGUUAUUAAACGAGGAACGUCAAUUAAAGAACAACUUCUUAUUGACAAAUGACGGCCUUCCCCGGCCGACGCUGGGCCAAUUGUGCGCCGCCCUAUGGGACUCCCAAUCCUGGCCGGAUGUGACUCAGCCUGGAAGAAUAGAUAAUAGGAUACAAACAUUAAUUUGCAUGUGUUUCUUAAAAUAAAAUACAUUAAAUAGC